rnacentral:rRNA from 1 species
AGCAGCCGCGGUAAUUCCAGCUCCAAUAGCGUAUAUUAAAGUUGCUGCAGUUAAAAAGCUCGUAGUUGAAUUUCGGGACCAUCAUGUCGGUCGUGCCUCGGUACGUACUGGCAUUGUUGGUUUCUACCUUCUGACGAACCAUGAUGUCAUUUAUUUGGUGUCGUGGGGAAUCAGGACUGUUACUUUGAAAAAAUUAGAGUGUUUAAAGCAGGCUCACGCUUGAAUACAUUAGCAUGGAAUAAUGAAAUAGGACGUUUGAUUCUAUUUUGUUGGUUUCUAGGAUCGACGUAAUGAUUAAUAGGGAUAGUUGGGGGCAUUAGUAUUCAAUUGUCAGAGGUGAAAUUCUUGGAUUUAUUGAAGACUAACUACUGCGAAAGCAUUUGCCAAGGAUGUUUUCAUUAAUCAAGAACGAAAGUUAGGGGAUCGAAGACGAUCAGAUACCGUCGUAGUCUUAACCAUAAACUAUGCCGACUAGGGAUCGGAUGAUGUUAAUUUUUUUCAAUGACUCAUUCGGCGCCUU